AGACCCGAAACCCGGUGAUCUAGCCAUGGGCAGGUUGAAGGUUGGGUAACACUAACUGGAGGACCGAACCGACUAAUGUUGAAAAAUUAGCGGAUGACCUGUGGCUGGGGGUGAAAGGCCAAUCAAACCGGGAGAUAGCUGGUUCUCCCCGAAAGCUAUUUAGGUAGCGCCUCGUGAAUUCAUCUCCGGGGGUAGAGCACUGUUUCGGCUAGGGGGCCAUCCCGGCUUACCAACCCGAUGCAAACUGCGAAUACCGGAGAAUGUUAUCACGGGAGACACACGGCGGGUGCUAACGUCCGUCGUGAAGAGGGAAACAACCCAGACCGCCAGCUAAGGUCCCAAAGUCAUGGUUAAGUGGGAAACGAUGUGGGAAGGCCCAGACAGCCAGGAUGUUGGCUUAGAAGCAGCCAUCAUUUAAAGAAAGCGUAAUAGCUCACUGGUCGAGUCGGCCUGCGCGGAAGAUGUAACGGGGCUAAACCAUGCACCGAAGCUGCGGCAGCGACACUGUGUGUUGUUGGGUAGGGGAGCGUUCUGUAAGCCUGCGAAGGUGGCCUGUGAGGGUUGCUGGAGGUAUCAGAAGUGCGAAUGCUGACAUAAGUAACGAUAAAGCGGGUGAAAAGCCCGCUCGCCGGAAGACCAAGGGUUCCUGUCCAACGUUAAUCGGGGCAGGGUGAGUCGACCCCUAAGGCGAGGCCGAAAGGCGUAGUCGAUGGGAAACGGGUUAAUAUUCCCGUACUUGGUGUUACUGCGAAGGGGGGACGGAGAAGGCUAUGUUGGCCGGGCGACGGUUGUCCCGGUUUAAGCGUGUAGGUGUGUGUUCCAGGUAAAUCCGGUUCACUUUAACACUGAGGCGUGAUGACGAGGCACUACGGUGCUGAAGCAACAAAUGCCCUGCUUCCAGGAAAAGCCUCUAAGCAUCAGGUAACAUCAAAUCGUACCCCAAACCGACACAGGUGGUCAGGUAGAGAAUACCAAGGCGCUUGAGAGAACUCGGGUGAAGGAACUAGGCAAAAUGGUGCCGUAACUUCGGGAGAAGGCACGCUGACACGUAGGUGAAGUGAUUUACUCAUGGAGCUGAAGUCAGUCGAAGAUACCAGCUGGCUGCAACUGUUUAUUAAAAACACAGCACUGUGCAAACACGAAAGUGGACGUAUACGGUGUGACGCCUGCCCGGUGCCGGAAGGUUAAUUGAUGGGGUCAGCGCAAGCGAAGCUCCUGAUCGAAGCCCCGGUAAACGGCGGCCGUAACUAUAACGGUCCUAAGGUAGCGAAAUUCCUUGUCGGGUAAGUUCCGACCUGCACGAAUGGCGUAAUGAUGGCCAGGCUGUCUCCACCCGAGACUCAGUGAAAUUGAACUCGCUGUGAAGAUGCAGUGUACCCGCGGCAAGACGGAAAGACCCCGUGAACCUUUACUAUAGCUUGACACUGAACAUUGAGCCUUGAUGUGUAGGAUAGGUGGGAGGCUUUGAAGUGUGGACGCCAGUCUGC
rnacentral:rRNA from 1 species